UGAGGACAUGAGCUGGGCACCCGGGUUUGUUAUUGCCAUUAACGAUGGAAACCACAAGCUGGGCUUUGGGUGUGCCUGGAGGUGGGGACAGUGGCUCUGGGGGUUGGUGCUGUCCCCCAGAGGGACAGGAGGGCUGUCGUCGAGGUGUGCAGGGGGAUGGCAGUCCUGGGGAAGCGAGCGUGGUCUCUGCUCCCAGGGCAGAUGUGUGGGACAGAGGAGUCAGGUCCCAGCUCUGGGCCGGGCAAUGACGUCCCUGUGGCAGGAGGUGACUGAUGGUGCUUGUCCUUCCCUUUCAGCUCACAAACCACUGAGGAUGUGUGACCCCCACCACGGCAUGCCACGACCACACCAUCCAGUUUGCCCUCCUGGUCCUCCAGGACACCAUGGUCUUGUCACAGGUCCCUACCCUGGUGGUCCUGCUUUCUGCCCCCCUCCACCUGGCCAUGGGCACCACCCCCAUGGGCACCACCCCCAUGGGCACCACCCCCAUGGGCAUCACCCCCAUGGGCAUCACCCCCAUGGGCACCACCCCCAUGGGCAUCACCCCCAUGGGCACCCCCAUCCAGGACCACCUCACUGCCAUUAGAAGUAACAUAAGAAGCACCAUAAGGACAAGCACUCCAAGCACCAUGGAGACAAGCACUCCAGUAGCUCAAGCAGCAGCUCUGACUCUGACUGAAGAUCUGGCAUCUCCCACAUUCAGCAAAACAUGAAGCCAAACACCUUGUGGGAACUCCCUGCAUGUAGCUCUACUCUCUUCCCCUUUCCCUUACAGCAGUGUUUUGCCUGCUGAGUGAUUUUCUUGUGUUUAC
ensembl:lncRNA